rnacentral:rRNA from 1 species
UGCGCAGCAGGUACGAAACCUCCUCAAUGCAUUCACGUGUGAAGGGGUUACCUCUGAGUGCCACUCUGAUGAGGGUGGCUUUUCCCAGGUCUAAAAAGCCUGGGGUAAUAAGAGGGGGGCAAGACUGGUGUCAGCCGCCGCGGUAACACCAGCCCCUCGAUGUGGUGGGGACGUUUAUUUGGCCUCAAGCGUCCGUAGCCGGCCGGGUAUAGUCUCCCGUUAAAUCCAGCGUCUCAAGCGUUGGGCUGCGGGAGAUACUGUCCGGCUAGAGAGUGGGAGAGGUCAGCGGUAUUCCUGGGGUAGGGGCGAAAUCCUUUGAUCCCAGGAGGACCACCAGUGGCGAAGGCUGCUGACUAGAACACGUCUGACGGUCAGGGACGAAAGCUGGGGUAGCGAACCGGAUUAGAUACCCGGGUAGUCCCAGCCGUAAACGAUGCAUGCUAGGUGUUGGGUUGGCCACGAGCCACCCCAGUGCCGCAGGGAAGCCGUUAAGCAUGCCGCCUGGGGAGCACCACCAAGGCGUGCAAGCCUGCAGGUAUUUAUUGGAGUCUAACAGCUGGGGCCACCUUACCGGGAGUGACAGCAGAGUGCAAGGCCCAGAUUGCAGAUCUUGCCCACAUCGAUGAUUGAGUAGGAGGUGCAUGGCCGUCGCCAGUUCGUCGCCUGUGAGGUGUUCUACUUAAGUGAGACACACGUACACGAGACCCGCGCCACAUGUUGCCAUACAGACACCUAAAGGGUCUGCUGGGCACUCUUGCUGGGACCGCAGCCGAUUAGUGCUGAGGAAGGGGUCGGGCAACGGCAGGUCAGUAUGCCCCGAAUCUCCCGGGCCACACGCGGGCUGCAAUGGUAGGGACAGAGGGCUGCAACCCCGAGAGGGGAAGCCAAUCCCUAAACCCUACCUCAGUUGGGAUCGAGGGCUGCAACCCGCCCUCGUGAACAUGGAAUGCCUAGUAACCGCGCGUCAUCAUCGCGCGGUGAAUACGUCCCUGCUCCUUGCACACACUGCCCGUCGUAACCACCCGAGUGAGGUUUGGAUGAGGCAUGGUCGAAAGUUGGCCGUGUCGAAUCUGGG